rnacentral:piRNA from 2 species
UCUGCCGUCAUUCUGCCAGUUGGUGGCCUGC